rnacentral:rRNA from 1 species
UACGGAGGGGGCUAGCGUUUUUCGGAAUUACUGGGCGUAAGCGCACGUAGGCGGACUGGAAAGUCAGAGGUGAAAUCCCAGGGCUCAACCUUGGAACUGCCUUUGGAACUCCCGGUCUUGAGGUCGAGAGAGGUGAGUGGAAUUCCGAGUGUAGAGGUGAAAUUCGUAGAUAUUCGGAGGAACACCAGUGGCGAAGGCGGCUCACUGGCUCGAUACUGACGCUGAGGUGCGAAAGCGUGGGGAGCAAACAGG